rnacentral:lncRNA from 1 species
GCCUAAUACUACAUUGUUUUGUUGUGUAAAGAAGAGAUUAAAAAGAUUAUAUAAGAGUAUUAAAUUACCCAGCGGUUUCAAAUACCUGACCAAAAUCCUUUAAGUGUCAUCAAAGACAAGGAGAGACUGCAGAACUGCUGACAUGCAGGAGACUUAAGAGAUGUGUCACUAAAUGCAUUGUGAGGUUCUGGGACAAACAAAGAAUGUUAAUGGAAACACCAGGGAAAUUGAAGUAAAGUCAGUAGUUUAGUUAGUACCAUCCCAGGAUUAUUUAAGAUGUUAUACAAGAUGUUACCAGACUGAGUGUGGGAUAUACAGGAAUUCCCUGUUCAAUAUUUUCAGCUCCUCUGUGAGUCCAAAACUAUUUCAGAAUCAAAAGUAAAAACAAAUGACCAAGUUUCUGGUAGUUCUUGAGUAUCAGAAGCAAAUUUGUGAGUGGCAACUGCUGAAGAAUGGUUAGUGUGGUGGAAUGUAUAUUUGUAACACAGCAUGUUUGAUGUCUGCUGUGACAGUCACACCAUGUGGGUCUCCUGUCUAAUUCCCUGGCAGGGUGUGCUGGGUGCACCGUGUCACCGGUAUGUGGGUGUACCCUUUCCUGGAACACAUUGGGUCAGGAGCCAGGAUCAUCUUCUUCGGAUCAACAACCAUCUUAAUGAACUUUCUGUACCUGCUGGGAGAAGUUCUGAACAGCUAUAUCUGGGAUACACAGAGAAGUAUGGAAGAAGAGAAAGAGAGACCUAAAUUGGAAUGAGAUCCAAGUCUCAAAGGAAGAGCAAGACAGAACAGCCACUGAAUUCUGUUACCCCUAGGGCUUUGGCAGUGCAGGAGAGAAAACUUCAAAGGAAGCAGUGGCAUCAACCAAAACUCCAUGACCCUGAGAAAGGACACCUUUUAUGUAUGAUAUGUAUAAAAGUGGAAUACGCUGGUCUCCAAAAUAACUCAUCCAUUGUGUUUUAAAGUAUUCUUUCCAAAUCCGUUACUGAUAACAUCUUCUCUUUUCCUUUUCUAGUUUUAAAACUAAAAUUGGUCAUUGGAUUUUCAUUUCUGCCAUUAUAACUCCAUUAAAUUAAGGAAGAAUAAAAUUCUAUUGUGCUUCUUCUUGAGAAAUGUA